AUACGUAGGGGACGAGCGUUGUCCGGAAUUACUGGGCGUAAAGGGCGCGCAGGCUGUUUGACAAGUCAGCUGUUAAAUAUGGGGGCUUAACCCUUAUAUGCGGUUGAAACUAUCAGACUGGAGUGCUGUAGAGGCAAGUGGAAUUCCCAGUGUAGCGGUGAAAUGCGUAGAUAUUGGGAAGAACACCGGUGGCGAAGGCGACUUGCUGGGCAGCAACUGACGCUGAGGCGCGAAAGCCAGGGGAGCAAACGGGAUUAGAUACCCCGGUAGUCCUGGCCGUAAACGAUGAAUGCUAGGUGUGGGUGUAGAGAUACAUCCGUGCCGGAGCUAACGCGAUAAGCAUUCCGCCUGGGGAGUACGGUCGCAAGAUUGAA
rnacentral:rRNA from 1 species